AAAAACUUUAUUUUUGGAUUUUCAUGUCCAACAUUGUCCGUUCAUCUUAUUCAAAAAUUUCAUGAGUAAAUUAAUAAAAUAUAAUCAUGCAUGAAGUAUUAUUCAUAUGUUACCAUCUAAUAACAAUAAAAAUAUUAAUUAUAAGAAAAUUUGAAGUAAGACGAACGGCUAAAGUUGGUCACGGAAAUCUAAAAACGAAGUCAUU
rfam:Leersia perrieri chromosome 9, whole genome shotgun sequence.